GAUGAACGCUAGCUACAGGCUUAACACAUGCAAGUCGAGGGGCAGCAUGGUCUUAGCUUGCUAAGGCUGAUGGCGACCGGCGCACGGGUGAGUAACACGUAUCCAACCUGCCGUCUACUCUUGGCCAGCCUUCUGAAAGGAAGAUUAAUCCAGGAUGGGAUCAUGAGUUCACAUGUCCGCAUGAUUAAAGGUAUUUUCCGGUAGACGAUGGGGAUGCGUUCCAUUAGAUAGUAGGCGGGGUAACGGCCCACCUAGUCAACGAUGGAUAGGGGUUCUGAGAGGAAGGUCCCCCACAUUGGAACUGAGACACGGUCCAAACUCCUACGGGAGGCAGCAGUGAGGAAUAUUGGUCAAUGGGCGAUGGCCUGAACCAGCCAAGUAGCGUGAAGGAUGACUGCCCUAUGGGUUGUAAACUUCUUUUAUAAAGGAAUAAAGUCGGGUAUGCAUACCCGUUUGCAUGUACUUUAUGAAUAAGGAUCGGCUAACUCCGUGCCAGCAGCCGCGGUAAUACGGAGGAUCCGAGCGUUAUCCGGAUUUAUUGGGUUUAAAGGGAGCGUAGAUGGAUGUUUAAGUCAGUUGUGAAAGUUUGCGGCUCAACCGUAAAAUUGCAGUUGAUACUGGAUGUCUUGAGUGCAGUUGAGGCAGGCGGAAUUCGUGGUGUAGCGGUGAAAUGCUUAGAUAUCACGAAGAACUCCGAUUGCGAAGGCAGCCUGCUAAGCUGCAACUGACAUUGAGGCUCGAAAGUGUGGGUAUCAAACAGGAUUAGAUACCCUGGUAGUCCACACGGUAAACGAUGAAUACUCGCUGUUUGCGAUAUACGGCAAGCGGCCAAGCGAAAGCGUUAAGUAUUCCACCUGGGGAGUACGCCGGCAACGGUGAAACUCAAAGGAAUUGACGGGGGCCCGCACAAGCAGUGGAGUAUGUGGUUUAAUUCGACGCAACGCGAAGAACCUUACCAAGUCUUGACAUCCUGCGACGGUGCUGGAAACAGUACUUUCCUUCGGGACGCAGAGACAGGUGGUGCAUGGUUGUCGUCAGCUCGUGUCGUGAGAUGUUGGGUUAAGUCCCGCAACGAGCGCAACCCUUAUGGUCAGUUACUACGCAAGAGGACUCUGGCCAGACUGCCGUUGACAAAACGGAGGAAGGUGGGGAUGACGUCAAAUCAUCAUGCCCUUUAUGACUUGGGCUACACACGUACUACAAUGGCGUUAAACAAAGAGAAGCAAGACCGCGAGGUGGAGCAAAACUCAGAAACAACGUCCCAGUUCGGACUGCAGGCUGCAACUCGCCUGCACGAAGUCGGAAAUUGCUAGUAAUCGCAGUAUCAGCAUGCUGCGGUGAAAUACGUUUCCCGGGCCU
rnacentral:rRNA from 1 species